ensembl:snRNA U6 U6 spliceosomal RNA
GUGCUCACUUCGGCAGCACAUAUAUUAAAAUUGGAACCAUAUGGAGAAGAUUACCAUGGCCCCUGCCUGUGCAAGGAUGACACACAAAUUCGUGAAGCAUUCCAUAUUUUU